GUCGUUGUGGUGGGUGGGUCUUAUCGCUCCCUCGGGAAAGCUGGGUCAGCCAUCUUGAAUUUGCACGAUGUGGAGAUGCUAAUGGCGGUAUACGCAAGCCGACGUAGAACAUUUCAUUAGUUUUUUUAUCUGUUUGCGGCUGUCACUUUCAUCAAACUACCACCACUUCCUUUUCUUCAUUGGCCCUAUUGCCGUCGUUUUCUCAAGUGCCGUCUAAUCAGCCCAGAUUUGGUCCCUAAACCGUCCACUAGAUAUCAGCAGGAGCUGCUCUCACCUGGAAUGAGGAUGGUGAUGGCCGCCUGCACAGCCCUCCGAAUGAUGUUAUCCAUGGCGAACAUCCAGUGAGGUUUGAUGUGAUGGUUCCUGAGCACCUUGUUGACCUGAAGGGAAAAAACAGUAACACCAUUUAAUGACUAGAUACCUUCAGAGAAAAGUCUUUUGUGUGCGUGUGUGUUCUCUGACCGAGUCCUGGAAGCCAAAGAGCACCAACUGGAUCUGGUUGAUGGAGGUGGAGUCAAAGUCUAGGUCCAGCUUGAGCUUGGAGAUGGUGGCCGCCAUGACGCGCCUCUCUGGGGAAUGAAUGAAGUCUCGGAGGAUGCAGAUGAUCUGCUUGAUGUGCUCCACGGACAGCUGGAGCUCUUCGCUGCCCUGAUAUCACAGAUAUCAGCAAAGGUCCCAGAACGUGGUCAGUGAGAGACCUAGGAACCCUAAAAUCUGUCCUCAUCUGUGCUGUGAAUGUGACUUAUAUUCAUGAUGGUGGCAGCAACAGUGAUUUUUAUGCGCAUUGUUAUUUCUUUUACAGUGUCAAAAUUAAAGGUAAGACUCACACUCAAGGUCCUCGGGACCAAAAUGUCUGCAUCACCCAAGUUAAACUAUUAAAUCAUUAUUAUAUUUGGGAAUUUAUAUGCACUAGAUAUACUGUUUUUUUUUGUUUUUUUUACUGAAAAAAGAAACAUGAAAAGAAAGGGUGCCUUGCUUUAAGUAGGAAAAAGCAGCGCCAACUUGUGGACAAGUUGAUGGCCACAAGUUCCAAGUUCAUUCAUUUCCGAAAUUGAAAUCUUAAAAUGACUGCAUUAAUUUAUGUUAGGAUAUAUGUGGAAUUCCAUGUGGGACAUUUUUGGUUGUGAGGAGCAAAUGUGUGAGUUUUUUUGUGUCGAUAUCCUUUAGCAAAUGCCACCUAUAUACCUUCAAUAGAGCACUAAAUCUUAGUCAGCACCUGGAUGUAGUUCUCCUUCAGGUUGGAGAUGACCUUCGCCUGGUCCUCGUUCAGGACCUUGAACAGAAUGGCCCGCCUCUCGCUGUCCUUCUUCAGUAGGAAGAGGCCUCCGUCUCUGUCCUCGGGGGAGGGCGGGACAUUGCGGUCCUCCGACACCGAGCCUUCGUCUGGAACGCUGCAACGCACACAAACACCUCAGUGUGUGGGCUUUUUUUUUGGUCUUUACGACGGCCUGUUUGCAAAUACAAGCCUCUCCUGGCUACCGUGCGCCGUGAGUCUGCAGCACACGCUUCCUUAAACACACAAGGGUCCAGCAUGGUGCUUGUGUGUGUAAAGAUAUUGUUAUACAAGUGCUGUGUCGUAAAAGGCAGUGGAGCAUGCUGGGAACACAAGGAGGCCACCUGCCAGGCAAAAGGUCAUUCACAUCUUUCCAACAUUAGUAGCAGCUGGGAUAGUUUGCUCUGUUGGUUUGUUGACAAGAAUUAUGCAAAAAGUAAUGAAAUAUUGAUUUCAUAGUAAUUCAUACUAAAGGAAGCCAUAAUAGAAUCAACAUAGUCCUGAGAAGACAGCGCCCAACGCGUCCACAUUCUGCUACAUUAUAGUUCAUAAGUCCAGUCUUGGAAGGAAAGUGUGUAGGCACCUCAGGUAGUUGGAAUUGGGCGGUUUGAGCAGGUUCUCCGAGCCGGAGCUUUUCUUUUUCUGGAAGAAGACAUCCUGUUUGGAGUCACAGUCGGGGCUCAUGGAGCCGUGUUCGCUGCUGCUACUCCCAGUAGCCUCGCACUGCAACUGCACCGGCAGGGAAACGUGGAUGUAGUCUGACGGCCACGCACAACAAACACAAAAACAGGACAAUUGUGAUGCACAUUGGAAAGAUUGUUCCAUGUCUUCCCACUGCCAGGAGCACUCGUGCUACCUGAAGGUUUGAAGGCGAUCUUGCUCUUCUUGCCCUUGGUGUUGUGUCUGACAAAGGUGUCCCUCAGCAGGUCAGCGGCGAUGGCUCGUUUGUGAGGGUCCGGCUCGAAGCAACGCAAGAUGAACGACUUGGCCUCCAGUGACAAAGACUCUGGGAUCUCCGGGUGGAUCUUAAACAUCCCCACCUGCAACACACAGUUGCGAAGUCAGCAUGUGUUGUCUUAAAUAGAUUUUUCUCCCUCUUUUGUUUGUUACAGGGAGGUUUCAUCAACCUUAAACAUGGCGGCUUGAGGCUCCCCCAGCUCAUGGAAGGGAGGCUUCCCGGUGGCCAUUUCGAUGAUGGUGCACCCCAGGGACCAGAUGUCUGCUGGGGCCCCGUAGCCCCGAGGACCCUUAUCGAUGAUUUCUGGGGCCAUGUACUGCAGAGUGCCUACACAGGGAUUGACUCCAGCCAGCCGCUUGGAGGUACCAAAGUCUGAGAUCUUCAAGACGCCGCUGUAGGUGUUGACCAGCACGUUGUCACCCUGGUAUCGCAGCCCCUCCAGGAUCUGUCGGGUGUAGAAGAUGAUGGUGGCCUCCUUCAGGGGACCCCAUUUGGAGCGCAGCAAGGCCGACAAGCUCCCUGGAGAAAAGAGGUCCAUCAUGACAAGCAUUUUUAGGGCAGUACAUCUUCACAAUGGAGAGUAUCGUUUGCGUGAAGCUUGUAUUGCACAACACAAAGCCCAAAUACUGGACGAUGUUCCUGUGCUUGAGGUACUUGUGCAGAGCGAUCUCUUCGUGAAGAGGCUGCGAGUACCUGACGUAUAAGGAAGAAACAAGGUUACUCAUCACCAACAAGUAGAAAUGCGAGGGAUGGAGUCAUCAGGUACCUGCUGUCCCUCUCUGGGAUCUCCUUGAUGGCAAUUCGGACCUGGUUGCUGAGGUCCCUCCCAGCGUACACGACCCCGUAGGUACCUCGUCCCAGCACCACCCGGUCCUCCGUCUCGUCGAUGUCGUACUCGUACUGAAAAACAUCGGACACACCAGAUGACACUCCACACCAGAUGAUGUGGAACCUGAAUCAUCUGACACAAACUGACCUCCAGUGUGUCGCCGUCGCCUUCGCCUUCCAGCUCCACCGAGUUCCCGGUCCCGUCCGAUAUCAUCUCCUUCACCAUGGAGCAGAACCUGGGAGGACACAGGUUCACUUCCACUGCAACCAAAAUGACUUGUCGUGGUGUCCAACCUUACCGUGCACACUGCUCCUCGGUGGAGAAGUAAAUCUGGAAGUCGUCAGAGUUGUCGUGGACGUAGAGGAAGCAGCAGCGUUCAUCAAAUUUGCUGAUACUGCAGACAGACAGAUAUCUUUUUUAAUAUCCAUGCCAGAGGAGCAGGGUGAAUGACACCCAUGUCAGCCAAUAAAAUGGUUCCUAAACUUGGUUUCAUAAGCAUCUUCUACCUGAUGCCUUUGAUGGACAUUGUGGUGAAGUUCCACUCGUGGAUGCCCUUCUACAACACGUCAAGAAAAUGGAUGGUCACUGACCACGAUGAAGCUUUCAUUCAUUCCGUGGACAAAAAAACACAACCGACUGUUUCAGCAGGAGAAACAUGCCAGAUGGAGACGUUCUUCUCUUCCGCCUCGUUGUUGAUGGACACGUAUGACGGUUGGUAGACCUUAGUGGGUUCCAGAAUCAGCACCUGUAACGAGACACCAUGGUGACGGUCUUGGGACGACGGGGUCCAUCUUGAUGUGAAUCCGUACGGGAAAGCGCAGUCGGUUGGUGGUCCCCUGCGUGGCCUCCACAAUGAUGUCCAUCCAGAAGUUGAGUCGGUCCCUCUGGGGGGAAUGCUCCAUGUUCUGCUUCUUGAAUCUCUGGAUCAGCUGCAAGUUCUGCACCACCGAGCGCAGGUACCUGGACGCAGUGCUCCAGUUACCAAAAUCUGGACCGCUCCCAGGUCCAGCCAUCCAUUAUCUCCCAUGAGGAUCUCACCAGAGAGGGGGCUUCAGUUUGAAGAGCUUCUCAGCAGCUUGAGUGGCCUUAGGGAUGUCGUUAGCCAGCAUGCUAACGGUGAAGAACUGUCCCACGUCCCAGUAGUUGUUCAUUUUCUCCAGGGAACCUUUGCGCCCCAGCAAACUGUUCAACCGAACACCUGAGAAAUAUUUGUUAUCAUUUACAUGAAUGAUCUGGAGUGCAUGAGAAAGGGGAGAGUCACUCUCUUUGAGUAGUGUUAUGAAACUCCGAGCAGAAACAUUUUAAAGUGCGUGCAGAGCUAGAUCAAGCUACUAGAUGCUGACCACUCAAGAUACCUCAAAUGCAGCUAUUUCCAUCUUGUGCAGGAAAAAAAGGUUGUCAGAAAUUAUUUGCUUCAGUGCGUCACACUAGAGUCUUUAUAGACCUGAAAUUCUGGAUCCGCUUACCAAUUUUCCUAAGUUCCAUGGAGCUCUCAAACUGUUGCCCGGCGACUAUGAGGAGAACGGCCAGGUUGAUGCCAGAGUAGAGUGUGGGUUGCAGCUCAAAGCCCUUUCUGUACCUGCAACAGUUCUUAGCCUCAAUCGCACGUCCAUUCUCCUUCCGAGACCAGAAGCGUGUCCGCCUUACCACUGUAUGGCAUUGUCCCUGUUCUUGGUGUCCUUGCAGUCCGAGUCCAGGAAGAUGUCCUUGUAGAUCCGUCCGCACAGGCAGAACAUGUCCGGCGCAGGAUGCUCACAGGACUGCAGGACCUGCAGCAUCACCCGUAGCGCUUGCUCCCUGUCGCCGGGACUGUUUCUCCUGCGAGUCAAGAUGUUAGGAUGAGGUACAUCAACGUGUUCCUGUCUCUCCAGAACAGUACCUGUUUAGUGCAAAGGCGUAGUGGAACUGGAUCAUGGGCUGGGUUGCCAGGUCGCAGGUCGGCAGCAUCUCCAAGGUCUGCACCAGUUUGACCAUGGCAUCGUAGUCCUGGAUGUCUCUGUAGGAGAAGAGCAGGUUCAUGACGAUGUCCUGCGUGAGGACCUCGGUGUUGUCGAUGCGGAGCUUAAUGCGGGAGAGCUCCUUGGCCAGCUCCUCGCCCUGAUACUUCUCCCUGGCCUUCCUGAUGUCGUUCAGCAAGGUGUCCUUAAAGGAGGCGCUAGAGGGACACGAGAAAGUUUGCUGCAAAAGAAGUUAUAAGUUGCACUGAACCUGCGUCGUAGAAGCUGUCCAACACGGAGGUCUCUCCAAAGUCGAGCCUCCCGAAGGUGACUGUGGUCAGCAGGGCACUCUCGGCGUCACACGCCCGCUGGAGGCACUGCAGCGCCCCGGACUCCGGACUGCUGGCCAUCACCGCCUUCAGACCGUCGUUCAGUACGUACACGACCCGCAGGGAGCGCUGCUUGGCCGGGGGACUGGGGCUGGACAGCUCGGCCCUCUCCCGGUCUCUCUCCAGCUGCACGCACAUACCCGCCGAGUGCUCGCCUGCCAUGUCCGCCGCCUGCGCGCUCUGGCCCGGCUCCAUAGCGGCGUCAGUGUGGGUGGGCUUCCCGGUGAUGCCCUGCGGUCAAGUGUGCUGCUGAUCGUCCCGGAUCGUCGGUGUCCUCCCGGGGCUCACCUGGCGCACACCUGUCGUCUCGGAGAGGAGAGCGUCUGAGUUUGUUCCCGGACAUGUCCGCCUCAUUAAGUCACAUCAGAGGCCGAUUAUCUCGCACCAAGAGGUCCGCUUGGCCCGGACCGGUUGCGACUAGAUCCCUUCAGAGGACGGAAGUGGAGGAAGUCACACUACAUACACACGCCCGCACAUACACACACAUUCACAUCUAGGGAUCAUAGGGGUAGGUGCGUUGACUAUUUUUAAUGUAAUAUUUAACUUUUUCCUUUAAGUUCAAACGUCAGACGAUCAUAGCACUUAUGAAUCAGCCAAUCUGGUUGUUAGAGUGUCAUCUGCAUGUUGCUUGCAGCCACAAGGGGGCGUAUAAGCAUGCAAUCUAGUUCCUUAUCCACGACUCAGGAACAGAAAUAUUGUUUAAAUGUCAUUUACGACACUAAAAUGUGCACUUAAUGCAGCAUCGUGGCCCAGAAACCGCCGGGGGAAGGAAACAGAAAGUAAAAGCAUAAAAGUUUGAAAAUCCACCAUUUCAUCAUCAGAUCAAACGUAAUGUAGACUCAAACGCUGAACAGAGGAGUCAUCUUUCUUGUAAUGUCUCCCUCUGCUGGUGACGUUUAAAACGUGCCUUUUAGAGGGACGAAUACAAAUUUAUGUUCAUGUUAACACUGUAAAAAAUAUAUGUUUUUGAAAUACAUAACAUUCAUUUUCCUUCCUCACAGUGUGAGGGGAGAAAAUACGUUAAACCUACCCUUAAAAAUAAGUUUAUUCAAGUAUACUAUGACUAUACUUAUUUUAGACUAAAAAUGACGACGUAUUCUCGAGGUUUACUUUUUAUAAACUAUUUUAUAUACUUAAGAAUAGCACGGUGAAGUAUACUUAUACUGAAUGUUAUGCCUUGCACUUGCCAUGGUCCCGCCCCCUACCUGGCAGCCAAUGGGAGUCGCCUAAUUGGUGCCAUGUCAGGCCCCACCCCUAAAAGGUGACGUUGACUACUCAACACGGAAGGAGGAGGCAUAGCCGAGCUAACAAAUAUUUUUAAGCAUUAAGAUGCCACAAUGGCAUUUACAAUGUAUUAUUUCAAGGACAAUACUGUGGAGGUUGGGAAGAUUUCAUGGACGAAUAUUGACGGCUAGCAACAAUGUGAUCUCUGUAAGAAGAGACAGGAGUUCAUAAAGGGUGACAACAUCCGGCAAGAAGGAACCAAGAGGAAGUGGAGGCCCAACAACAAGUGGAAAGAUGUAGAAGAGGAGGAUCAUGAAGUUCUACCAAAAAAGUAGACUAACUCUAAUGAGGAGCAGCCGCCCAGAAACACAGUAGAAAGUGAAAGCGCUUCAGAGAGAAACCAAGCCUGAAAGGAGACCGUGUGAAAGAUAUACUAGAUGCCAUGAGAGCCCAUGACAGGCCAAACUCCCAGACCCCCCAAGAUGUGAGAUGAAUCCUAAAGAAGACUCCAAUAAAAGUACAUGGUCUGUAGUAUACUUUUAAAGUAUACUUUUUUGUUAACUUAAAAUGUUCCAAUUUAGUUCCAAGAAGUGUUAAAUAGUAUACUUUGUAGUAUACUAAAAGUACAUCAUCUUCUACUUUUACACUUAUAUUCAAGUAUACUUAUAUAUAUGUAUGGUGUUCAUCACCUCCGUUAUAAAGGCAAGGAUCCUUGCCAGCUGACUAGCUCCAUUGGUAGCACCACAGAUUCAUGGUGCAGGGGAGCGAGGUUCAAUACCCGGUCAGGGCAAGUGUAGGUCAUUUUGCCAUUUGUCCAGUUCCAACACCUAUCGCAGUCAUCACCUCCGUUAUAACAUCAUGAAUGUCUGCCAGCUGACUAGCUCCAUUGGUAGCACCGCAGAUUCAUGGUGCUGGAGUACUGUGUUCAAAUCCUAGUCGGUCCAAAAAAAACCAAAACAAAAAUGAUAGGGCGUUGCCUUCCCAGUCGGCACAAAAAGGGGUGUGUGUAACUUCCCCCCUCAACUUGAAAUUAUGCGGGAUCCCGCCUCCGGGGGGAUCCCGCCUCCAAAAUGAUCCCGCCUCUUGAGGGAUUGAUAAUUAAAUAUGUGCCUCCAACUGGAUGAAGUCAACAUAAAAUGAGAAGUAGGUGGAGUUAAGUGGGCGCAAACUCGUAUAGUGGGGGAUGGCCG